UGAGGACUAUAGCCUCCGUACAUGGGGCGCGUGCACUAACGACUAAGCCACCAGCGCCCCUGAACACUCAUCAUUUACAGUUUGGUAUGACAGAGGGAGGAACAAGCCAGCAGCAACAUGACUGAACUCCUUUUAACUGCAACAUGAACUGGGGGAAGCGGAGGAGAGGGCUGACAUUUCUGAGUCACAGGUCAACAAGAUGAAAGCCAUGAGCAGCCUGACAGAAGGUCAGUGAUGCAAUAAUGUCGGUAUUUUUGUUUCACUUGGAACAGAUCAACUCACUCUGUAGUGUAGCAUACAGUGGAUAUAGUGAAGUCUUUCAUUGAGCUGGUAAAUUGAGCUAGCGUCACAUGUUAUGUGUGUGUGUGUUGGUGUGGCUCUGCUUCCCUCCUCCUUUCCUCCUCUGAGAAUGUACCCGCUGAUUACAGUACUCCGCUAUUACUUUCUUUGAUUCCAGAAGUUGGAUUUGUUUUUCGGCAUGUGUCUGCAGGAGCUGGGGAUCCGACUCCAGACUGGUUGAGGAAACACCGACUCUACCACGGUGACACAGCCACCAUGUUUAAUUUCAACCUCAAUUGAAAGCAUUAACUCAAGUACCUCCAUAUUAGGAUUUUUGUAAAUCAGAAUAAUGCACUUACCAGACCCAUAGCCUACUUUUGCCUUUAAAACAAAGUUUAAGGACCGUCUAAUUAAAGUUAUUGUAUCAGAAUUAUGAGUCCAAACACAGAUUUCAGGAUCUUUGUAUCGAAACAAUUUUAUUUUGAAAAUUCAUGUUGUAAAAUGUUUUUAUAAACUAACAAUCUUUCAAAAAUAAAGGGAUUGAACAAGUUUGA